CCCACCUUGAGCGGUUACCCCGUGCUGCUUUCUGCCCAGUGAGACGGCGGAGGAGGCCACAGUGGCUGGGCCUCCAGACACAGCCCCCAGGCCCAGGAUAGGCGAGGUGUGGGGGCGUUCCCACGGCCACCAGGAAGUGUCCACUGACCAACCUUAUAGUGUGAUCAGCGGUACAGAUUCCCCCUCCCGGGGAGGAGAGUGGGCCACAGUGCUCUUCUUUCAGAGUUAUUUGGAGUCAAAUUGGUAAAAUAAUAAUUUUUAUUCAAAGCCAGCUUUGAAGGAAGAUGGAAGAAACUUAAUUGUUUUAAAAACUCCGUCUUUUAAAGCGUUUAAGAGGGGAAGGGCGCACCGGAACCAAGGGCAGGAGCUUCCCGGUUCUGCCUCCUUCCUAGUCCAGUUGGCCAAGAGGCGUUUCACAGGUGUUCACAGGUUCCUGCCCUUGGAGCUGGGACUUCCUGGGCCAGCCUCUGUGCUGCCUUUUAGAUAAAAACGUUAUCUUUUUAACUGAGGAGAAGGAAAGGUAUUACAGAGGCUUUUCUUUAGAGUUUAGAACCUCAAAGAGAGGAUGUUUGAGAUGGAGAAAUGUUGGGAGGCAGUCACAGCCUCCUUGGCCUCCACUCUCAGCAUGAGGAAGCCAUUCCCAAUUUCAGAUGGGUGGGGGCACAAGUUCAGUCUGUUUCAGUUCCAACGGUUGCAAGGGACAGAGAAAGAGGGAUGCUUCCCAGCUUGUGUCAUAAGGCCAUCCAACCUCCGGCCAACCGUGGUACCCGGCCUUACAUAGACAUGUCCAGAAAGAAAACCAGAGGUGGGCCAUGCUCAUGACCAUGGGUCCAUCCGUCCUUCAUCAGACAUUCGCAGAUCAGGCCAGCAGGAUGUGAGUCUAUUCCUGGAAUGGAGAGGUGGGCUGACAGUGGGCUUCUACCCAAGUGCCUCACAGCAGUAAUGACCUAGGAGAAAAGUCACCUCCAUAGAGUGGGAAGGAACCUCUAAACUCUACACCCAUGUUGCUGUCCGGGUUUAGUGUCCAAACGUGUACAAAGGACUUCUACAAUGUCAGCGUGAAGAAGACAGGGGACCUGGGGGCGUUCCCCAAGUCCACCAGGAAGUGUCCACAGACCAACCUUAUAAUGUGACCAGCCUUAUAAAAGGCCAACUCUCUUUUCCUCCCUGGAAAGAGAGUUGGCCAUCCAUGGGUGGGCUCACUUGGACACAAAAUUCCUGAAGUUGGACACGUAGUAUAUAUAACACAUAGGAAAUGCGCAGUGAAAUCCGCCUUCCACCAAACAGAGCUGUCAAAAUGAGGGACAACAACUCACAGGCUGGGAAAGGGUGGCCCACCUGCGGCUUCUGCUUUGGUGGGAGUGGGAGUAGGUGUAGGUAGGAAGUGGGUGCUGCCCUCUCGGGCUGGUGCCUGUCCCCCCCGUGGCCCAGCAGUCCUUUCCUCAGGCGUGUGCCCAAAGCAGGGUGGACAAAUGUGCAGCCAAAGACUGUUCACAACCAUGCUAUUCAUAGUGGCCCGAAUCUGAAAACAACUCCAGUGCCCAUCCACAGAGGAGUGGAUGCAUAGAUGGAGGUUUGUUCCCGGAUGGGUCACGCUCCACCAGCGAGGAUGAAUGCACAAUAGCUCCACACAGCACACUCGGAGCUCGCAGACGCUGGGCCAGAGAACCUGACCCAGGAGCGUACAUGUUGCGCAACACCCUUCGCAUGAAGUUAAAGAGCAGGCAGGGUAGCCUCCAGUGUUAGGAGUCAAGGUGAGUCAUCUUGGGGGGUUCCUGGGGCCCAGGCAAGGGUCUGGGUACUGACUUCAUGGAUGGGCUCCCUUGGACACAAAAUUCCUGAAGCUGGACACAUUGUAUUAUUCUUUUCAUUAUUUGUAUUACUUUAGUAAAAAGCUAACUUUUAAAAAGCUAAUGUGGCUGGGCCUGGUGCCACAUGCCAGUAAUCCCAGAGACUCGGCAGGCUGAGGCAGGAGGAUUGCAAGUUCAGGGCCAGCUUCAGCAACUUAGUGAGGCCCUAAGGAACUCAGGGAGACCUUGUCUCUAAUUAGAAUAUAAAACAUAGGUUGGGGAUGUGGCUCAGUGGUUAAGUCCCCUGGGUUCAAUCCCUGACAUAAACAAACAAGCAAACAAACAAAAAUCUAAUGUGCUUACAAUGUCCUCAGGCCCAGGGGAGGGCUCCCUCCGGUCUGCAUGCGUGCCUUGGUGAGCCCCUCCAAAAGAAGGUAGAGCCACACUGUCUCCAGAAGAUGACACAGCUAUGGCAUGUCAUAGCAACUUCAGAAGAUGCCGUGUUUCCAAACUCCCUGGUCUCCAAGGAGGAAACGCACCGUGGUGGGCUGGGGAGAUGACCUGUUCAGUGGGGAGCAGAGCUGACUCUGGAGGCCGGUCCUGCGGCCAUGCUGGGAAAGAAGGAGGGGAGGGGGUGACCCUUAGAGCCCGGCAUUGCUGGAUGCAGGAGGACCUGGGUCCUGCAGGCACUGAGGUGCAGACAGGAAGGGAGCCGGCUGCAGCCCAGGGUGCAGCUCUGGCCUUCACGGAACCGUCCUGGUGCUGCCCCAGGUACCUUUAAUACUCCAGGGGUUGCCAGUUAGUCUCUGAGAGGGAUGAAGCCUCUUCUGGGCCACAAGUUCCAGCCACCAUGGUGGGACUUCACUGGAGGAGUGAAAGGCAGCUCCCGCGGUGACAAAGGCAGACACUGUCUCCUCCUCCUGGAAGCCCCUGUGCUUCUGCACGGAGCUGCUCCCACACCCCAUUUCUGCACCAUCCUUCCUGCCACUCUGGAGGGAGGUGGGAGAGUGAACCAGGGGACCCUGGACCUUGCAAUCACCAAUAGUAGGAACUGUGGCCAUGUCCUGCCCACCCUAAGCCUGGACUCACUCCUUCUCUGGCUGGGAAGCUGGCCUCCAGGAGGCCCACCAAGAGACUGUGGAGCCGACAUGGCCAUUCUCGGCUGGGCUUGAGGGCUCUGGGUGAGUAUGGUUAGAAUCCUUCCCCCCACUUGCAGGGGAAGGUGACCCAACGGGUUACUGUGGGUCCUCCUUCAUCCCAGCCACACAGGCUGGGAACAGGAAUGAUUCUCCAAUUCUCCAGCCUGCAGAGGAGCUUGGGACCCACUGCCAGCCUCUCCCUGAUUUGAGUCUCCACCCACAGGGACUUGGGGGCUGACCUAGAGGAUAAAGGCGAGAGGCAUUGGGAAGAACAGCCCGAGGCAAGGAGCCUCAGAGGUGCGAAUGGGUGGCCAUGCCUGCGGGGUGUGCACGCAUGUAUGUAUGUGUGUGUGUGUACAUGUGCUCGCAUUCGCGUGACUGGGUCCUGUCCUCCUGGGGGCAGAGGUGGGUUUUACCCAGCAAUUUUAUCAAGGCAGUUUGCAGUAGUUUUGGGGAACAUGGCAAAUAGUCCCCGUGAUGGACAAUGGUCUCGCUCAGUGGAAGAUCAUGGGUGGCCAGCACAGGGGUGGUGGCUGGAGAAACCUGGCCACAGAGGUUGGAGAAAUGUGCCCUGGGAGGGGAAGCUGGCCAGGGCACAGGGACUCUGGCCCUGGAAGAUGGGUCCUGUGUGCAUGGUCCAGGGGCUGGCCAGACCUUGUCCCAAGGCCAGCUCUGUGCCCAUCAGCCCUGUGGCUAAUUCUGUACAGAAGUCCUGUGGCUUGCUCUGUAGGGGCCGCGGAAGGAAGCUGUAGCCAAGAGGAAGAGGAGACCGCUGGUAGCAGAGGGUCCCUCACGGGCAGCGCAGCAUGCUGUGGUGUCUGAAAAAACGGGGUAAUGUGUAGUUUUCCCAUAAGGGGCACGGUCUGGCCGCUCCUGCUUCUCAUGUGGCAUCUGCAUUUUCGGAGGACUCUCCACAUGUCCUCGGCUCAGGGCUCAGAGCUGGGCUGCACCAGGGGCCCCCUGGGACACGUGAGUUUUCUUUCCACCUUUGCUCCCACUGGGUUUGGGUGGGCUCUGCCUCCAUGUGACCCCCCAGCCAAGCUCCCACACCCUUGUGUCCAUCAUGCAUUCGAUGCUUGCUGAGUGCCCCAUGGGUCAGGCCUGGGUGUAGCUGUGGAUGUCCUCUUGAAGGACUUGGACUCCCUGAAGGAGAUCUAGAGCAAGUGGAUUUGACCACCAGGAACCUGGCAGCCUGAGGUCCCCAAUAGCCCAGGAAGCACACUGAGUGGUGGUCAGUCCUGGGGAGACACCACGUUCUGGAGCUCAGGCCCACAGCGUCCCUCAGUCAAAGCAAGCAGCCAUGACCCAUGGAGCCCCACUGCAGCCCUCUAAAGCCCUCUGCACACUUGCUUCUGACAUGAAGAUAUUGCAUCUGGGUUGUCUGGCCAGGGAUCAAGGCGCUUCCCAGAGAGGGGAGAAGUAGCCUUGGGUGGCAAGCUCCCAGGACCCAGGACCCAGGGUCCAGGGCUGUCUGGUAUCCUUGGCUCAUGUUCAGACACAUGCAGAGGUAAAGAGGCCGAGAGAUGCUUGGAGUCAAGAGGCCUGGCUCUCCCAUUUACCAGCCAUGUGACAGUGAGCAAGUCAUAUUCUCUCAAGUGAUGGGGUUGGGCUAGCGUCUCUUAAAGUGCCAAGUGUCUCCAGGAAGGCUGUGAAGGUCUGAACCAAGACCCUGCAGUGAGCAAGGGCCCAGGCGAAGCUUCCCCUGCAUCAGACACCACCCAGGAGCCGUGAGAUGCCUCCUGAACCACUCCAUUCCCUCUCUUCUUAACACAUUUACUGAAUUCCUGGGAUGCGCCUGGAACUUUCCCACAACCCUGCUCUCUGAGGAUAUAGCAAAUCUCUACCCCCAUGAGUUCAACUUCUGCCAGAUUCGACUUUUUCUGUCUUUGUAGACUGCAGGGCCUGGACCAAUGAAUAAAAGUCAUGGGGAGGUGGGUUUAGGUUUGAUGCCAGAAAGAACUUUCUAACCACUCAAGUGACAUUAGAGUGGAAGGACUGCCUUGGGAACAGUGACAAAGCUAUCUCUGGAGAUGUUCAGAAAGAGAUGGAAGGCCUAGCAGAUUUGUGGUGGGUCCCCAUGAUGCUGCCAACUGGUGUUCACAGCCUCCUGCGUUCCACUCCUGUUGUGACCAUAACAAAACACCUGAGGCUAGGUAAUGUGUAAAGAAAAGAGGUGGAUUGACUCACAGUUUUGGAUGCCAAAAGUCCAAAUUGGGUGACCCCAUCAAUUCAGCCUCUGGUGAGGGCCCAGUGGUAGAUGCAUCCUGGCAGGAUUGUUUUUAAGAGAGAGAGAGAGAGAGAGAGAGAGAGAGAGAGAGAGAGAGAGAGAGAGAGAUCACGUGGUAUGACCAGAAGCCAGAGUAAGACUGGGGUCCUCUAAGAACCUGUUAAUAAUCCCUUCUAAGAAUGCACCCCAAUGACCUCUGACCUCCCACCAGGCUCUGCCUGGUUAAGGUCCCACCACCUCAACACCUGCUAAGGACUAAGCCUCCAACCCACGAGCCCUUGGGGAGCCUCCUCUGAAAUGUGGGCAGAGCCCUGACUUGCUUCCAGCCCACAGAACACAGCCAGCGUGACUGGGUGAUGACGUUACGGAACACGUCACAGUUGUCUAACUGGCAGACUCUCUUGCUGGCUUGGUGGCACAAGUGGCCGGACUGGUGUGGCCCAAACAGCAGGGAGUGGGAAGCAGCCUCCAGUCAAAGCCAGAAGACACCGAGGCCCCCAGCAACCCACGCUGCCGGCCACCGUGAGGAUUCAGGCAGUCCUUCCGCAGCUGAGCCUCGGGGAGGCCUGCGGCCCCGAGGACGUCCCUGCACCGAGUCUCUGAGGCAGAGGAGCAGCUGAGCCACGCCGACUCCUGACCCCAGAGACGGGGAGGACAGGUCGGUGUGCGUGGAGCUGCUGAGCGCGCAGUGAUGCCGUCACACGGCCAGCGUCAGGCCACACGAGGUGCGCAUUGGCCAGGUCAGACUGGCUCUCAGAAGACUCAUCCCAACCCGAGGCCAGGGCCAUCUGCACUGAUUUUCAUCUUCUGCGCUGCGCUUAGUUCAGUCCUUGCAUAAACGGGGCCUGCUGCACGUCUGUUCAGCCCUGGCACCGGCUCAGGCACCGAGGACGCGGCUAGCGCACGAGCAGAUCCUGCCUGCACUGCUCAGGGUGGGGGCCAGGACCCUGGGUCUGGGCUCCCUCCAGCUGCUCCCACCCAGAGUGACUCUGGGCACGCCUGCCUGGGGUUGUGCACCUCACGGAUCAAACCUCCGACCUACCCACGCAGGGUCUGCGCAGGUUGAAUGAGCUAAUAUGGCGGCCUGUGGAGAAGCCCACGGAGGGAGGGGUUGUUAUUGUUGUUAUGAAAUGUCACAGGCAUUCCUGCUGGCUGACUCACGGGGCUCCAGACUUGGAGGGCUCCCUUCCAAAUAAGGCACGGACGUGUCCAGGCGGUGGCCUACGGGCUUUGCUGGUCACCCCUGCCGCUGAUGUGAGUGCAGAGCCCGAGUCUGUUGAUCCAGGGCUGGCCUCCUCCUGGCCCCUCCUGAGUGGCCCAGCUGCAGUGUGGCCGUGAAGGGCCCUGUGAGCUGCCUUCACGGAUCCGGGUGGGGGCUGUGGGCUGGUCUCUGAGUCAGAGGACGAAGGAAGACAGGAGUGGACGGCGGCCAGGGGCCGAGCACAUCUCUCGGCGGGAUUUCAGAGGCCAAGGCCUUCCCGGCAAAUCACGCACCAGGUCCCACGUUCCCUUGUGGGAUGGUCCACACCUGCUCAUCCAUUGUCGGCUGACGUCUGAGCUGCGUCCCUCCUUGGUCUGUGUGUUUGAAUCCCGCCAGUAAUGGGGAUCUCAGAACCUUUCAACAGCAGCCGGUGCCUUUGGAGGCAGCAAGGACUGGAACGAGAGUUUCUCAUCUGAGACUGAAAAUCUGUUUCUGAGCUUCAGUGGCAGUGACCGUACACUGAUAUUUAAGAGGAGCCCGACCGUGGGAAUCAGCUCAUGUGAUUAUGGAGGCCGAGGAGUCCCACGAAACGCUGUUGGCAAGCUGGACACGCAGGCAGCGGAGCUGUGACUCAGUCUGAGGAAGUCCUGGGAACAUGCAGGGCGGGGGCCGGGGCGGCCCUGGCCUGCAUCUGAGUUUGAAGGCUUGGGAGCUUUGGGGUCCUUGGGGUGUCCCAUCCCCAGCAGAGAGAGCACAGUGACCUCCUCCACUGUUUGUCCACCCAGCCCUCAGUGGAUAGGCCCAUGCCCAUCCACCUGGGUGGACUUCACUCAGUCCACGGAGUCAGGGGCUAAGCUCUUCCAACAACGCUCAGAAAUAAAGUCUGGUGUCCCUUAACCCUGGCACGGUGACACCGAAGGUUAGCCGUCACACAGACUGCACAGCCAGCCCCAGCUCUGUUAACUCAGAGCACGUGGAUCUGCUUAGACCAAACAAGACCACACGGCCACCGUGGCCGCCGGCUGCACAUGGCUUUCCAUAGGAGGCUGACCAAACUCUCUGGGAUCCCCCAAGCAGUGCAUCAGGAACCAGGACGUGGUGUGUGAUGGGGACGGGGGGAGCGGGGUGACGUCGCCUCCCCUCAGCUUAUCCUGGAUUCCCUCUGAAGCAGGCCCUGACCCCGUCCUGGGAUCCACACCCAGCCAUCCCCUUGUCAGGGGGCUCUACCUCUGCACAAUCAACCAAUGGCAGGUGGAAGAGAUUUGGGGGAAAAACCCACAUCGAUAAAAAAGAACAAUAUAACAACAAGAAAAGUAGGAAGAAAAAAUCAACAUCACAACUGUUUACGUAGCAUUUACAUUGUGUUAGGCCUUAGGAGUAACCUAGGGAUUGUUUAAAGUACAGGGAGGAAGCCCUUAGGGUCAUAUGCAAGAACCACUGCUGUCAUUUCUAUAAGGGACUCGAGCAACCUCAGAGGUAGGUGACCACGGGGACCUGCAGCACAUCCUCUUUGGAUCCCUGUCCCCUCCUCCAGGUGCAAGGUAGCUGGGGAGCUGCUUCUGGUCUGUUGUGCUCAGCCCAGGGCAGAAGGUACAGGUGCCUGAUCAGACUUGUAACCAGUGCGCCCAGGAGCACACAGGGCCCAGGGGCUGAGGGUGGGUCUUGCUGGCACCUGGCUCCCACUCCGUCUCCGCUGCCCUGGACCAAGCUGGGCCUGCUGCUGUCUCCCCUCGUCCUUGGGUUCCCCGCGGCUGUUGACAGGUGCUGACUGCCUCCUGUCCCGUCCUUUAGGGUGCAGAGCCACCAUCAUUUCAGCAGACCUUGGCCCAGCUGCCAACUCUACUCUUCGUCUGGCCUCCCCCAGCCGCCCACCUGGGACAGGCAGCCAGCAGGACGUGCUGGACUGGGAGGGGACUUGGAGCUCCGCAGCAGGCUCCCUGGGCCUCCCGAGGGGAGGACUGCUUCCAAGAACUGCUUCCCCUCCCGCUGCCCCAGCUCUGACUCAGAGGAAACUGGAAAGAGGACAUGAAAUACCCACAGUUCCAGGGUUCCGUGGGGUCACAGGAUCUGGAGCUCUCCAAGGAGAGGAGGGAGUGCCCGCAGCCGGGGCCCACGGGGCCACGGAACCACGGAACCUCAUGGACGGGUGUCCAUAUCUGUGGUCC